AUUGAACGCUGGCGGCAGGCCUAACACAUGCAAGUCGAGCGGAUGAAGGGAGCUUGCUCCUGGAUUCAGCGGCGGGCGGGUGAGUAAUGCCUAGGAGUCUGCCUGGUAGUGGGGGAUAACGUCCGUAAACGGGCGAUAAUACCGUAUACUCCCAGAGUGAGAAAGUGGGGGAUCUUCGGACGAUUAGUUAUCGGAUCAGUCUAGGUCGGAAUAGCUAGUUGGUGGGGUAAAGGCCUACCAAGGGGACGAUCCGUAACUGGUCUGAGAGGAUGAUCAGUCACACUGGAACUGAGAAACGGUCCAGACUCCUACGGGAGGCAGCAGUGGGGAAUAUUGGACAAUGGGCGAAAGCCUGAUCCAGCCAUGCCGCGUGUGUGAAGAAGGUCUUCGGAUUGUAAAGCUCUUUAAGGCGGGAAGAAGGGCAGUAAGCUAAUACCGUGCUGUUUUGACGUUACCAGCAGAAUGAGCACCGGCUAACUACGUG
rnacentral:rRNA from 1 species